rfam:Actinoplanes utahensis strain NRRL 12052 contig59, whole genome shotgun sequence.
ACGCGCUGGCGGGACUCGGUGUAAUUCCGAACCGGCGGUGAUCCGACGCGUAAGCGACGGUAAGCCCGCGACCCGAUCGCCUUCACCGAGGCGAGCGGUGGACCUGGUGAGACUCCAGGGCCGACGGUUGAUCAGCCUCUGCUGGUCAGACAGUCCGGAUGGGAGACAGCGCGC